rnacentral:rRNA from 1 species
GUGGCGCACGGGUGAGUAACACGUGGGAACCAACCCUGAGGUUCGGAAUAACCGCGGGAAACUGCGGCUAAUACCGGAUAUCCCCUACGGGGGAAAGAUUUAUCGCCUUGGGACGGGCCCGCGUCCGAUUAGCUAGUUGGUGAGGUAAUGGCUCACCAAGGCAACGAUCGGUAGCUGGUCUGAGAGGAUGACCAGCCACACUGGAACUGAGACACGGUCCAGACUCCUACGGGAGGCAGCAGUGGGGAAUAUUGGGCAAUGGAGGCAACUCUGACCCAGCCAUGCCGCGUGGGUGACGAAGGUCUUCGGAUUGUAAAGCACUUUUGUCCGGAAAGAAAAGCACCGGGUUAAUACCCUGGUGUCAUGACGGUACCGGAAGAAUAAGCACCGGCUAACUUCGUGCCAGCCGCCGCGGU